GACGAACGCUGGCGGCGUGCCUAACACAUGCAAGUCGAGCGGGAACCUCAGGAGGGGUAACCCUUCUGAGGGGAGAGCGGCGAACGGGUGAGUAACACGUGGGCAACCUGCCCCGGACACCGGGAUAACCCAGGGAAACCUGAGCUAAUACCGGAUACUCCGGCGCGAUCGCAUGGUCGUGCCGGGAAAGCUCCGACGGUCCGGGAUGGGCCCGCGGCCUAUCAGCUUGUUGGUGGGGUAACGGCCCACCAAGGCGACGACGGGUAGCUGGUCUGAGAGGACGGCCAGCCACACUGGGACUGAGACACGGCCCAGACUCCUACGGGAGGCAGCAGUGGGGGAUCUUGCGCUAAUGCGCGAAAGCGUGACGCAGCGACGCCGCGUGGGGGAUGAAGGCCUUCGGGUUGUAAACCCCUUUCGGCAGGGACGAAGGGAAACUGACGGUACCUGCAGAAGAAGUCCCGGCUAACUACGUGCCAGCAGCCGCGGUAACACGUAGGGGACGAGCGUUGUCCGGAUUCAUUGGGCGUAAAGCGCGCGUAGGCGGCUCGGAAAGUCGGUCGUGAAAUGCCGGGGCUCAACCCCGGGACUGCGUCCGAUACUUCCGGGCUGGAGGUAGGUAGGGGAGAUCGGAAUUCCUGGUGUAGCGGUGAAAUGCGCAGAUAUCAGGAGGAACACCGGUGGCGAAGGCGGAUCUCUGGGCCUUACCUGACGCUGAGGCGCGAAAGCUAGGGGAGCGAACAGGAUUAGAUACCCUGGUAGUCCUAGCCGUAAACGUUGGGUGCUAGGUGUGGGCGGACAUCGACCCCGUCCGUGCCGAAGCUAACGCAUUAAGCACCCCGCCUGGGGAGUACGGUCGCAAGACUGAAACUCAAAGGAAUUGACGGGGGCCCGCACAAGCGGUGGAGUAUGUGGUUUAAUUCGAUGCAACGCGAAGAACCUUACCAGGCCUUGACAUCCACGGAAUCCUUCAGAGAUGAGGGAGUGCCUUCGGGAACCGUGAGACAGGUGCUGCAUGGCUGUCAUCAGCUCGUGU
rnacentral:rRNA from 1 species